AGAGUUUGAUCCUGGCUCAGAUUGAACGCUGGCGGCAUGCUUUACACAUGCAAGUCGAACGGUAACGCGGGGGCAACCCUGGCGACGAGUGGCGAACGGGUGAGUAAUACAUCGGAACAUGUCCUGGAGUGGGGGAUAGCUCGGCGAAAGCCGGAUUAAUACCGCAUACGCUCUGAGGAGGAAAGCGGGGGACUCGCAAGGGCCUCGCGCUGCAGGAGUGGCCGAUGUCGGAUUAGCUAGUUGGUGAGGUAAAGGCUCACCAAGGCGACGAUCCGUAGCUGGUCUGAGAGGAUGAUCAGCCACACUGGGACUGAGACACGGCCCAGACUCCUACGGGAGGCAGCAGUGGGGAAUUUUGGACAAUGGGGGCAACCCUGAUCCAGCCAUGCCGCGUGAGUGAAGAAGGCCUUCGGGUUGUAAAGCUCUUUCGGACGGAACGAAAUGGUUACAGUGAAUAACUGUGAUUGAUGACGGUACCGUAAGAAGAAGCACCGGCUAACUACGUGCCAGCAGCCGCGGUAAUACGUAGGGUGCGAGCGUUAAUCGGAAUUACUGGGCGUAAAGCGUGCGCAGGCGGUUCGCCAAGUCAGGUGUGAAAUCCCCGGGCUUAACCUGGGAAUUGCGCUUGAAACUAGCGGGCUUGAGUGUGGCAGAGGGGGGUGGAAUUCCACGUGUAGCAGUGAAAUGCGUAGAGAUGUGGAGGAACACCGAUGGCGAA
rnacentral:rRNA from 1 species